AGCAGUAGCCGCGGGAAUACGUAGGUGGCAAGCGUUGUCCGGAUUUAUUGGGCGUAAAGCGAGCGCAGGCGGUUUCUUAAGUCUGAUGUGAAAGCCCCCGGCUCAACCGGGGAGGGUCAUUGGAAACUGGGAAACUUGAGUGCAGAAGAGGAGAGUGGAAUUCCAUGUGUAGCGGUGAAAUGCGUAGAUAUAUGGAGGAACACCAGUGGCGAAGGCGGCUCUCUGGUCUGUAACUGACGCUGAGGCUCGAAAGCGUGGGGAGCGAACAGGAUUAGAUACCCCUGUAGUCCCUGUCUCUUAUAA
rnacentral:rRNA from 1 species